AGACGUCUACAUUAGAUACCCCGGUAGUCCCAGCCGUAAACUAUGCGCGUUAGGUGUAUCGGUGACCACGAGUUACCGAGGUGCCGAAGGGAAACCGUGAAACGCGCCGCCUGGGAAGUACGGUCGCAAGGCUGAAACUUAAAGGAAUUGGCGGGGAGCACCACAACGGGUGGAGCCUGCGGUUUAAUUGGACUCAACGCCGGGAAGCUCACCGGAUAAGACAGCGGAAUGAUUGCCGGGCUGAAGACUCUGCAUGACUAGCUG
rnacentral:rRNA from 1 species